rnacentral:ncRNA from 1 species
CAACUGUUCCUAUCAUUGUGAAGAAGAAUUCACCAAGCAUUGGAUUGUUCACCAACUAAUUGGCAACGUGAGCUGGGCUUAGAUCGUCGUGAGACAGGUU